GACAGAGGGGGCAAGCGUUGCUCGGAAUUACUGGGCGUAAAGGGCGCGUAGGCGGUCAGGCAAGUCGGGUGUGAAAGCCCUGGGCUCAACCUGGGAAUUGCAUUCGAAACUAUCUGACUCGAGUAUGGGAGAGGGAAGCGGAAUUUCCGGUGUAGCGGUGAAAUGCGUAGAUAUCGGAAGGAACACCAGUGGCGAAGGCGGCUUCCUGGACUAAUACUGACGCUGAGGUGCGAAAGCGUGGGGAGCAAACAGG
rnacentral:rRNA from 1 species